rnacentral:rRNA from 1 species
AUUGAACGCUGGCGGCAUGCCUUACACAUGCAAGUCGAACGGCAGCACGGGAGCAAUCCUGGUGGCGAGUGGCGAACGGGUGAGUAAUAUAUCGGAACGUGCCCAGUCGUGGGGGAUAACGUAGCGAAAGCUACGCUAAUACCGCAUACGAUCUAUGGAUGAAAGCGGGGGAUCGCAAGACCUCGCGCGAUUGGAGCGGCCGAUAUCAGAUUAGGUAGUUGGUGAGGUAAAGGCUCACCAAGCCGACGAUCUGUAGCUGGUCUGAGAGGACGACCAGCCACACUGGGACUGAGACACGGCCCCAGACUCCUACGGGAGGCAGCAGUGGGGGAAUUUUUGGGACAAUGGGCGCAAGCCUGAUCCAGCAACUGCCGCGUGCAGGA